ensembl:snRNA U6 U6 spliceosomal RNA
GUGCUGGCUUUGGCAUCGCAUAUGCUAAAAUUGGAACCAUACAGAGAAGAUUAGCAGAGCAAGGGUAACUUGCAAAUUUCUGAAGUAUUCUAUAUUUUU